rnacentral:rRNA from 1 species
GUCUAUGGCCAUGCUAUCCUGAACAAGCCCGAUCCUGUCUGAUCUCGAAAGCUAAGCAGAAUCAAGCCUGAUUAGUACUGGGAUGGGAGACCACCUAGGAAGACCAGGUGCUGUAGGUG